UCUAUGAGUCGACCCCUACUGAGCAAUAGAUGCAGAUAGAGAACUAUUUUUUUAGAACUCCUGACAGAGUUGACCACUGAAGAAUUGAAGUCGACCUCAAAGUAAAUGGAGUUGAACCUAGAGGAAUUGGAGUCGACCCCAAAGUAAGAUUAAGAGAUUAGAAAGAGAAAAUUAGUUUGAAUUAAUUGAAAGCUUCAUUGCACAUCUUUAGAGAAGAUGAUGAAAGAUAGAAGAAUCAAGCACUAAAUUUAAAGGAUCAUUAAGAAUUAUUUUUUCUUU
rnacentral:lncRNA from 1 species